GAACAACCUACAUACAACAAAUACUCUAAAUUAUUUGCAGUUUCACUGAUUCAAAGGAAUUAAAUAUUGUAUUCAGUUCAAGAGCAAUUUUUGCCUCAGGCUCAAAUAGCAGGUAAAGAGGAGGGUUCAAGAGUAAUUAUGCUGUUCUGCACAAUGGUGAUAGGAUGCACAAUAUCAAGGCUGGAAACCCACCAAUGCAAUGCAAAAUUUGCAAACAGGGAAUUACAGAAGUCCGAUACCAAUCCUG
rnacentral:misc_RNA from 1 species